UGUGGGAGCGAGCUUGCUCGCGAUGACGGCGUGUCAGUCAACAUUUACUGCACUGGCACGCCGCUAUCGCGAGCAAGCUCGCUCCCACA
rnacentral:misc_RNA from 1 species